UCCGGUGGCAAUGACGAAGGGGUCCCACCUGUUCCCAUACCGAACACAGAAGUUAAGCCCUUCAGUGCCGAUGGUACUUGACUGGUAACGGUCCGGGAGAGUAGGUCGCCGCCGGAU
rnacentral:rRNA from 1 species